rnacentral:rRNA from 1 species
CUACGGGGGGCACCAGUGAGGAAUAUUGCGCAAUGGGGGAAACCCUGACGCAGUGACGCCGUGUGAGUGAUGAAGGUUUUCGGAUCGUAAAGCUCUGUCAGACGGGAAGAAUAAGAACAGUAAAAAUAUUGCUGUUUGAUGACGGUACCGUCAGAGGAAGCACCGGCUAUCCGUGCCAGCAGCCGCGGUAAUACGGAGGGUGCAAACGUUGUUCGGAAUUACUGGGCGUAAAGCGCAUGUAGGCGGAUAUGUAGGUCAGAUGUGAAAUCCCUUGGCUCAACCAAGGAAGUGCAUCUGAAACCCCAUAUCUUGAGUACGAGAGAGGGAAGUGGAAUUCCCAGUGUAGAGGUGAAAUUCAUAGAUAUUGGGAAGAACACCGGUGGCGAAGGCGGCUUUCUGGCUCGUAACUGACGCUGAGAUGCGAAAGCGUGGGGAGCAAACAGGAUUAGAUACCCGUGUAGUC